CAGUUCCCAUCCCCGGCCCUCUUGCAGCCAUUUUUAAGAGAUGCAGAGUGGAAACGGGCCCUUCAGCGCACCAAGUCUGCGAAGGAUAUUUAAAAUUAAAGGGCUGUUGAAAGUUCACAAGCUGAACCUUUUUUUAAAAAA